GGGGGUGUAGCUCAGCUGGUUAGAGCGUCUGCCUGUCACGCAGAAGGUCGCGGGUUCGAGUCCCGUCACUCCCG
rnacentral:tRNA from 2 species